GAUUUCAGUGAACUUUCUAAAAAUUCACAGCCAAAUAAUUGAAGAAGAUGAUCGAUCACCCAGAACAGGUCCUUUGAGGAUCCAGGACCCAAAAGGAAGGAAGAGCUGCUGUGUCCUGGGCAUUAGAAGAACUGAGCCAGGUGCAGAUUAAAUGGUGCGUGCAUUAAAUCCUAGAACCUGAGAGGCAGAGGCAGGCAGAUUUCUGUGAGUUUGAGGCUGGCCUGGUCUACAGAGCAAGUGCCAGGAUAGCUAGGACUACACAGAGAAACCCUGUCUCAAAAAACAAACAAACAAACAAACAAACAAACAAACAAACAAACAUAUCCUCACUUCAAAUUAGUUUAGGCAAACUAGAGGGAAGGUAGCUGUUCCAGGGACCCAGAGGCGGGGCCAGCAUUGGAGUCCAGCCUUCUUGAUUCUGUAGUCAUUGUAUCUUCUUUGUUGAUGCCUCCCUGGAGUACAGGGGACACCAUCAGCUGCACAGAUCAGUUGCACAGCCCCGGACCACACGCCCUUUCAGAUCAUUUUGGCGGGGAGUUAACUGGAGAUCUCCUCUAGGAACAGCAACUAUGAUGGGGGGAUGUCCUUCUGUAUGUAUGUUUCCCUUAUUAGUUGAUGAAUAAAACACUGAUUGGCCAGCAGCCAGACAGGAAGAUAGGCAGGGCUACCAGACAAGGAGAAGGCUGGGGAGAAGAGGGCAGCGAGAAGCCACCAGAGAGAUGCCAUGCUGUUGAAGGAGUAACAUGCCAGAUUACAGGUAAGCCACAGCCUCGUGGUAAUACGUAGCUUAAUAGAAAUGGGUUAAUAAUUAAGAGAGACCUAGCCUGUAAGAAUCUUAAGCCAUUGUCCAAACAGUUUAUAUUUAAUUUAAGUCUCUGUCUGUUUAUUUGGGGCUAAACAGCCAUGGGAUCAGGUGGAACAGAAACUCCAUCGUCAGAACUAAGGCUACAGUACUCCUUGGCAAACAGUUCCCAUUGCAGGAUGCCAUCAGUGCAUCAUGAUGGCAAUGUCAGCAGCCACCCAACAAUCCUUGCUUCCUGGUGAUGGUAUGGAUUUCUCCCCAGACGCAAGAAGCUCUACCUGGUUUUGGCAAACGCCACUGCCUGGUCAUUCGAGGGCCAUCAUGAGACCGUAUGUAGUAAGGAGUGAUGUAUGGUUACAGGAUCUACCCAAAAGCCAAUGCUCUUCCUCUUCUCCUGGACAUUUGCCUAAACCGAGAAGCGAGGCAUGAACAGAAGUCCUGCACUGACGCUCUAGAUGAGUUUAGAGAUGACGGAGUAAACUAAGAAUCGCACAAGGCUUAGUUUGGAUUUAUCUUGGGCGCUUAAUGAUCAGAAUAAAGAACUGCACCUUGCUCA
rnacentral:lncRNA from 1 species